rnacentral:rRNA from 1 species
AGAUGGCGACCGGCGCACGGGUGAGUAACACGUAUCCAACCUGCCGAUAACUCGGGGAUAGCCUUUCGAAAGAAAGAUUAAUACCCGAUGGUAUAAUCAGACCGCAUGGUUUGAUUAUUAAAGAAUUUCGGUUAUCGAUGGGGAUGCGUUCCAUUAGGCAGUUGGUGAGGUAACGGCUCACCAAACCUUCGAUGGAUAGGGGUUCUGAGAGGAAGGUCCCCCACAUUGGAACUGAGACACGGCCCAA